rnacentral:rRNA from 1 species
UACAGAGGUCUCAAGCGUUGUUCGGAUUCAUUGGGCGUAAAGGGUGCGUAGGCGGCGCGGUAAGUCGGGUGUGAAAUCUUGGAGCUUAAACUCCGGAAACUGCAUUCGAUACUGCCGUGCUUGAGGACUGGAGAGGAGACUGGAAUUUACGGUGUAGCGGUGAAAUGCGUAGAUAUCGUAAGGAAGACCAGUGGCGAAGGCGGGUCUCUGGACAGUUCCUGACGCUGAGGCACGAAGGCCAGGGGAGCAAACGGG